rnacentral:rRNA from 1 species
UACGUAGGGUGCGAGCGUUAAUCGGAAUUACUGGGCGUAAAGGGCUCGUAGGCGGCCAACUAAGUCGGACGUGAAAUCCCCAGGCUCAACCUGGGAACUGCGUCCGAUACUGGAUGGCUUGAAUUCGGGGAGAGGGAUGCAGAAUUCCAGGUGUAGCGGUGAAAUGCGUAGAUAUACUGGAGGAAUACCGGUGGCGAAGGCGGCAUCCUGGACCGACAUUGACGCUGAGGAGCGAAAGCUAGGGGAGCAAACGGG